rnacentral:snRNA from 13 species
UCAUCUAACUGGCAUCAGGAAAAUGGUUUUGUUCCUCAGGAUGAGGCUCAUCUUUUGCAUUCCAGGUUCGUGGAGCCCUGUGAUGUUUCCAAAGGAUGGAAACUCAGAUGCAUAGUUGUAGCAAUGGGGCACAUGUUCACAGUCUCCCAG